AAACCACCGGUAUGACCAAAUUUUGAAAAUCUUUGAUAAGAGAAGAGAUGAAAAUAUUUUGGGAAUCAUUCACUAUGCAGCUGCUGUUUUCAACCCCACUUAUUUUUUUAGUGAAAGAUUCAAAAAGAUUCCUCAAAUGAAAGAUGCAACAGAUUUCAUUGGUGAAACAGUGGUUCCACAAGAUGAGAGGAGAGAAUAUUAUGGACAGCUGGCAGUAUACCACAUGAAGUCUAGCACUCUUUUUACUCCCAGUGCCAAGAUGAUGAUGGAAACUAGUCAUCCUCGGGUUUGGUGGCAUAUACAAGGUGAUGCUAUUCCUAUCUUACAGAAGUAUGCCAUUCGAAUAUUGAGCCAACCAUGUAGUUCUUCAGCUUGUGAGAGAAAUUGGAGUGCCUAGGAUGCAGCACAAACCAAAAGGAGGAAUAGAUUGUCAGCAACAAUGUUAGAUGAUUUAGUCUAUGUGAGAAUGAAUUCGUUGAUGAUGGAAAAAAGGGGUGAACUUGAACAGAAAAACAUGUUACCCAUUAAUCUUGACAAUAUUAGUGUCAAUGAUUUUGAUCA